rnacentral:rRNA from 1 species
CGGACGGGUGCGUAACACGUGAGCAACCUACCCUUCGGCGGGGGAUAGCCGGCCCAGCGGCCGGGUAAUACCGCGUAUCGCCCUGGUGUCGCAUGGCACUUGGGUAAAAGGAGCAAUCCACCGGGGGAGGGGCUCGCGGCCUAUCAGCUUGUUGGUGAGGUAACGGCUCACCAAGGCGACGACGGGUAGCUGGUCUGAGAGGACGAUCAGCCACAUUGGGACUGAGAUACGGCCCAG